GGGCCCGUAGCUCAGCCUGGUUAGAGCACUCGGCUGAUAACCGAGAGAAAAGAGCCGGGAAUGGUCCGGGGUUCGAAAGGUGCAAACACCCGGAUCUCCCCGCGGGCCCA
rnacentral:tRNA from 1 species